AGAGUUUGAUCUGGCUCAGAUUGAACGCUGGCGGCGUGCCUAACACAUGCAAGUCGAGCGGUAACAGGUGUAGCAAUACAUGCUGACGAGCGGCGAACGGGUGAGUAAUGCUUUGGAAUCUUCCCAGUAGUGGGGAAUAACCAGUCGAAAGAUUGGCUAAUACCGCAUACGUCUGUAAAGGGAAAGCGGGGGCUCGUAAGACCUCGCGCUAUUGGAUGAGCCAAAGUCGGAUUAGCUAGUUGGUGGGGUAAUGGCCUACCAAGGCGACAAUCCGUAGCUGGUCUGAGAGGACGACCGGCCACACCGGAACUGAGACACGGUCCGGACUCCUACGGGAGGCAGCAGUGGGGAAUAUUGGACAAUGGGGGAAACCCUGAUCCAGCGACGCCGCGUGUGUGAAGAAGGCCUGCGGGUUGUAAAGCACUUUUAGUGGGGACAAAAAGCUACGGAUUAAUACUCUGUGGUCUUGAUUUAACCCAAAGAAAAAGCACCGGCUAACUCUGUGCCAGCAGCCGCGGUAAUACAGAGGGUGCGAGCGUUAAUCGGAAUUACUGGGCGUAAAGCGCGCGUAGACGGUUUUGUAAGUCAGAUGUGAAAUCCCUGGGCUCAACCUGGGAACUGCAU
rnacentral:rRNA from 1 species